UAUUUCUUAUAAUUAAUUGUUAACAAAAGAAUAACUCGAUUACUGUCCAAUUCACAGAACGUUGAAUAAAGAACAAUACAAAGGAAUCUUCAGAUGAAACAGUUGAAAUAAUGAACAGAUAAUAUAAUUGUCCAACAGAGAAAAUUGAUGAGUCAGUUGAGAAAGGAUUAACUUUGAAAAUGUAAAAACAAUCAACAAAUGGCAAAGAUGCACUGAAUGGCGCGACAUUUCAGUUGAGAAACAAAACUAAAAAUAAUAAUGUGGCUGAUUGAUUAAUUGAAGGAAAAUGAUCAGAUGACAACUAAUGCAGCUAAAAUCGACUUGAUCUAACCGCUAAUUAUGAUUAAUGUAUUUCUCAACUGACAAAGAAAUUCCAUUUAAUAUUUUUCUUUGUUUUUGUGUCCAUAAAUAGUUACAAUUAAUCUUGUGUUUUUGUUUUAAAAAAUGUUCUCCUUCUGUGUAAUGCAAUUACUGUUUCAACAUGAUCAACUUCAUGAUGGUUGAAUAUUUGUGUCUCUGGUUAAUUUCUUCAGGCUUUUAAUUUGAAAUUUUUUGUUUGCCAAUCUAAUUUUGCUUUUAUUUUAUUUCAUCUUUUACAUUGCAUUAAAAAGAUUCCCUCAAGUCAGACGAUGAGAAAAUGUAUCUCAUUAAACGGUCCAUUUUAAUUGGUUAACAAAAAAAUUCAACUCUACAUGUUGUCAUAGUUAUUUUUCUGCCUGCGGAUCAUGAGAUACUUCAUGGAUAGGAUGAGAAGCUAUUUUAUUGUGAUAACGGUGAUUAAAAUAUGGGGAUUACUGUAAUUGGACCAGACAGAGAAGCCAGUGUAAAGAUCAUAUGUUUAAAGUGAAAAAGAUUUUACAAGAUAUACAUUAACCCAACGGUUUAAAUAAAUAAUGGUGGAAGGAAGACAAAGCAAAGAGAUGUCAGAUUGUUCAUUGGUUCAAGCUAGUGAAAAGCACAAAAAGAUAUUUCAAGGAAUCAAGGAAUCAGGGGACAAUAACAAAAACAUUUGGAAAGACAAAGACACCAAAGAGUCCAUCAAGUAAUCAAAGACAGUCAAAAUAAAGAAGGAACCACCAAGCAUGAUUAAAGCCAUUGGGUGAAAAUAUCCUUAUAAACCAUACACACAACUAUCUUUUAGGAUGGAAUACAGAGUCAACCACUCAGAGUCCAUUGAGAAUUGUUCAACCAUGAUUCGUGUCUUGAAAUUGGAGUAAAUUCCUCUAUCAUUUUAUCUAACUCUUUCCCAUCGUUCUUCAUCUUCAUUUACCUCUCUUUCUUACAACAUUUAUUAUCAAGUUUAGGGUGAAAAAUAGGAAAAGAAAUGCAAAGAGAGGAAAACUAUUCCUGUUACUGCUUCAACUUAUCCAUGAAGAAGACCAUUUUUCUUGGAAAAAAAAGGAUCUGAAAUGUUCAUGUGAAAACGAAAUACUCAAUGGAUAUGCUGAAGAUUGCUGCCUGGAAAUUACUUUUUUUGCCAACAAAAAAAACCAGAUUGUAAAACGGUGCAAAAUAAUUUGGCUGAACAGCGAAUGUUGAUGAUUAGAAUGAUGAACAUGAUAAUGAUGCAUUGAAUGUUGAGGCCACAAAAUUUUACAUUCAAGUUCAUGGGAAACCUGUAAACUCUAUGAAUCCUAAAUUUUUUACCUAAUGCUGGCAAAACAAUCAACUGAAAAGUUUUAUCUGAUUGGAGGCAAGGAAAGUAUGAAAUGUGAAAAAGAGGGAUUUAUUGGAGAUGCCAUUUUUCAUACUUCUUGUUUGCUACUUUUUUUGCUGCUAUAUAAAUAUACUCACAAAGAGUAAAAUAUGAUUCAUGAAAAUUGGCUUGAAAUAUUCUACUUUAUUUUUAAUAUCAUAUUGAACACGGUUGCUCACAAAAUAUUACUCCUAAGAUUUUUCAUUUCAACUUUCAACUCUAUCUAUUUAAAAGAAGACACCAAUUUUUGUUAUUCAACUUGCCAUUCAAUAGAGAAAGAUGGAUGAAAAACAGUGAGAUACAAAACUGUUUCACAGUUCUGUCAACACGCAAUGUUACCAACACAUCACAUGAAUUUAGUUCAUUUUGUUCAAUUCAAUUUGUUUUUUUAUUACCAUUUUCACUUUUCUCAAAUCAUGUUCUACUUUAUCAAUGUGUACCUCCAAUGAAAUUCAACAGCAAACAAAAGACAAAACAUGGAAGCCCGGAAGUCAUGUAGUGAUAAAUCAAACACCUUAAAAGAGGAAAGGAGAAAGAGAAGCAAAAAAUUACAGAAGAAGGAGAAAAAAACAGGCAGAAUUGAAUAUAUUGGAAGGAAUAAAGAAGCAAAGUGAAAAGGAGAAAAACUGAAGUGAAGAUGAAAUAGAUAAUACAUAUAUGAAGGAGAAAAAAACAGAAUGAAAGAUAGGAAGAGUCAAGCAAAAUUAUCGAUCGGACUGUUGAAUUGCCUUUUCCCCUGUUGGAAUCAGAUAACAAUGAAGCGAAGCAAAAUAUUUGCUAUUCAUUGGUUUUCCUUUCUUCUCACUUUUCUUUAGCUUUUCUAUCUCUUUCAAUGGAACGGUAGAAUCAAUUUUGAGUGAUUCCCUUUAUCAUUCUAUUCAUUCAUUCUUCUCUAAAUCAUCAUCAUCAUCAUCAUCACCAAGAUCAUCAUAACUAUCAUCAUUCUUACCUGUCUUUUUAUCAUUUCUCUCUUUCUCUCUUUCUCGUUAGAUUUAGGAAUGUGACUUGAAUCAGCAAAACGUUAACAGCUUCAUUUCAUGUUGUCACCAUGAAGGCAAAAAGGACUGUACAACUCAACGUUACAAGAUCCAAUUUUCAUUUAAACUCAACAACAAAACAUAAUUCAACAAAUAUUUUGAAACAUUCCUCAAGUGAAAUGGCUGGAACAUGGAGUGCAAGAAAAUACUUAAUCAAUUUCAUCAUAUUGAUAAAUGAUUAGAUGAUUGGUGAUGUCGAUAAUGGAAGCGGAGGAAAAUGGAAAGGCAGGGGAAAAACAAAAAGAAAUGACAAAUAUCCUGAAAAUGGUUUGGCAAAAGUAAAGCUCUUUGAUCAAUAACAAAUGAAGGAAAACUACAAACUGAAACGGAGACAGAACAAGAUUUAUUUAUGAACUUUACCAUGAGAAAGUAAAUCCUCUACAACUAACUCACAUCCAGAUUAAAAAGUUAAUUGUAGCAAGAUCAAGCCAACUAACAGUGACUGCCAAUCAACAAUCCAACAACUAAAGCAUCACCUAAAACUGUGACUAAAUCAAGAGCAAAUUAUCGCUACUGAUGGCUUCUAUCAAAAUAUUAUCAUGUUUACAAUCAAAUAGUCAAGUCAAAACAAAUUAAUAGGCUAAUAAUCAAUGAAGUUAAUGUUGCUUUUUUUCACUCCAUUUUAGCCUUUUGAUAAACUUAAUUUCACUCCAUUAAGAAACAGCUUCCAAAUGCCUUUGACAUCUCCAGCAAACUCUCCUCCAAGGCAUCAUCAUUUGUCUUCUUCCCUCUUUCUCAAAGUAAAUUAAAUCACUGUUUACUUCGUUCAACACUAACUUUACCAGAACCUAAAAACCUCCAUCCUCACCAUCCUUCCCAUUGCUCAUCUUUUUUACUCCUUCUUCUUCCUCUUCUUCCUCUUCCUCUGUUAAGUUUUACUUCUUGUUAAAAGCUUUGUUAACAAGAUUGUUCACUUGUCUGUCUUUAUUUUCCCUGAGAUUCCCAAUAAGCCACCCAAUAAACUUAUCCUCAUCUUCAUCCCUUCCUCAUCUUCACCUUUCUCCUCCAAAGCCAGACCAAAGGAACACAAAAGGCACAACAAAAAUAACAUCUUCCAACCAUUUUCACCUCCAAGGUAGAGUCACAAUCAAGCGACAAGAAACAACUCAUCUAAAUUUACCAACACUU